GUAAGCAUUCCACAAAUUGAGAUUGGUUUUAAUGCAGUUUUAAUCGGAUUCCAUACUAUACUAUUGCAAGUUAACGUCUGUCGAAUGUAAAACACAGGGCUGCCACAAUACACUACCUGAUGACUCCCUGUAAACGUAUUAGUGAAGGGGACUGUACAGGAGUACAUUAUCUUGGCUGUACAACCUAUGGAUUUCUACUAACUAUUAUAUUUUAUACAUUUCUUGUUGCAGGAGUCCUGAUCUGAUCUGGUGGGGGGAUAGCUGACGGAGUGGUGGAGUAUGGUAAAGAUCUCGCCAGCUGAGAGGAAGACCAGCUACUGUACGAGUCCUUGUACCAGCUGUGAGACCAACACUUCUUGAAUAAUUGAAGAUAGUCAUCCAGUUAUACUUGAGGCUUUCAACCACUGACGUCUCCAAGCAAAAUAUGGAGUGACCUUACCUCUACGGCCAACAUGGAGUGACCUUACCUCUACGGCCAACAUGGAGUGACCUUACCUCUACAAGCAUGUGGGGUGAUCCACAGCGGUGACCAGGUUUCCAAACAUGGGUGAUCCGACCUGAACAUAUGGAGCGACCCACAGCAGUGACCCGACCACAAGCAACAUAUGGAGCGACCCACAGCAGUGACCCGACCACAAGCAACAUAUGGAGCGACCCACAACAGUGACCCGACCACAAGCAACAUAUGGAGCGACCUACAGCAGUGACCUGAUCUCUCUCCAAGCAACAAGUGAACACAACCUGAUGUAAUAAGUGCAUUUAUCUAUAUAAUAAAUGUUUAACUUGU